UGCGCUCUGUGGAGCAUCUGGUUAAUAUUAUAUGUCAAUUGUCUUUUUCACUAUUUUACCUAUGACGACGUUGUUAAUUUCAUGGACCAAACCACAUGUGUCCUUAGUUUCUAGUGAUACUUUUUCAUAUGACUCUACUGUGCUGAGAAAGAAAAUUAUCAGUCAGUAAGAUCAAAGGAAAAAUUCGUAAAAUAGUGAUAAUGUAAAAAAAACACCAGACAUCAGAACUCAGGAAGAUAAUGAUUAUUUUUUCAGGAUGAAGGAAAGAACAUACUUUUGGGGAAUUAGGGAUAACACCUGCUCCUAGCACCACAAUCUCCGGCGCAGAGAUCACAUAUCCGUUCCGUUCAAUACUUUGUAACACUACACUCAAUAUUAAGUGCAGUAUUGCGGAGCAUGUAUGGAACGGAUAUGAACUCUGCGCCGGAGAUUGCUAGCACCACUCAUCUGUGAUUGCUGUAGAACAUGUCAUUAAAAAUGGUGAUACAACCAAUUUUAUUAUACAGUUUCGUUUCAGAAUCAACAAAUGUCCUACACAGAUCCAGGAACAGGCUAUAUGGUUAUGACCAGAUUAUCACAUUUAACUAGAGGUGAUUGUUGUGGAAAUGCUUGCAGACAUGUAUGUUAUACUUACUCCUAAGCUAGAAAAUACUUUGUCCUCACUGUGUAAGUUAUAUCGGUACUCCUAUUCUUGAAAAAUCUUUGUCUGCAGCCUUAUUUGAUCUACUGUUUACCCUCUUUUUAAAACAUCUAUAGACAUCUACAUGUAUGUCAAGACCUGAAUGUUUAACUGAAAGACAGGGCAAGAUAAUUUCUUAAUGCAGUUUUACUAACACUUGUUCCACAAUCCCUCCACUCAGUUUAACUUUUUAAUUUAAAAAAAUAUUGUGAGGAAUGUAUUAAUGAGAUACAUAUAUAUCUGUUCUCAAAUUUUCUUGAAAAAUUAAUAAAUGAAAAUAACACUUUGGUAUGAAGUGCUUUUCUCAAGUAAACUUCUUUAGGGACGUUUUAAACCUUAUAUGUGAAAUGCAAGGAUGCAUACAUACUCCCAACUCAUGAGGAACUAUGUGACCAACAGAGACCUAAACAAAAUAGCAAAAUACAUAUACAGUGAAACCUGUUUAAACCAAACCUCUUUGGGACUGAAGAUUUUGUUCGGUUUUGGCUGAUGUUCGGUUUUAUCAGGUUCACAACGCACAUUAUAUGAUAUGACGGUGCUUACUAACAUGUUUGGUUCAUACAGGUUUUUGGUUUAUACAGGAUUCGAUUUAGUCAGGUUUCACUGUAUACAUUUGAGCGUCAUCAGCUCAGUAGUGAUUGGGUACUAAUAUGCUUUGUCACACAACUUUCUUAAAUUCUCUUUUGAUAAAUUAAGAAAUUAUUAUGAAAUUAAAGAACAUUUGACUUAGUUGCCCUUACAAGUUCUUUGGAAUUCAUAGUAGUCAUGGGAGUAUGGGUUUGGUUUUGGACCCGUUCUGAUUGAUUACUGGGCAUUUUGCAUUUGUGAUUUUAUAAAUAAUCUGUGGAAACGUAUCAUACAUUUAUAAGUUAUUUCAUAUAUGAUAUGUGGCACAAGACUGUAAUAGAAAAAAAAUUAAACAAGAAUGUGUCCAUAGUACACGGAAACCCCAUCGGCACUAUCGUUUACUAUGUUCAGUGGACCGCAAAAAUGGGGCUCUGAUUUGGCAUUAGAAAUUAAAAGAUCAUAUCAUAGUGGACAUGUUUACUAAGUUUAAAGUUGUUUUCAACUUCAUCAAAAACUAACUCGACCAAAAACUUUAACCUGAAGUGGGACAGACGGACGGAUGCACAGAUUAGAAAACAUAAUGCCCAUCUAUUAUUGUAGGUGAGGCAUAAAAAUAUAAAAAAUAUACUAGAAACAUUGAUAUCUGUUUGUUGAUAUAAUAGAUGUAUUCAUCUUUAGUGUUUGUAAAAAGAUGAAAAGUUAUAAGUUUUGUUAAAGUUGUUUAAACCUUUAUUUUUCAGUGUCCCUAUGGACAGAAAAAUGUACCUGAUGAGAUGAAGAGAAAGUUUAACUCAGCAUUUUAUUCUUGACGAAUGUGAUAAAUGUAGUACUUGACCAGUUGGAAGCUUUUUUGACAUAACAUUAGAGUUUUAUUAUUGUUACUAAAAAUUAUUAUUUUAUUGAAAUGAUAAAAAUAAUGUUUAUGAAACGGGUAUUAUAUCUGUACAUGUAAUUGUUUUAAGCUUUGAUAUAAAUUGUUUACUUUUUGUCUAGUUUUCAAUGAAUUUUGCAGUUAUCUCCCAUGCAACAAAACUUGUGGGAAACAAAAAUCAUACUGUUAUGUGUCGUACAUAGUUGUGAAUACAUAAUAUAUUGUUGAAGACAGUACAGUGACCUAUAUUUGUUUAUUUCUGUGUCAUUUUGGUCUCUUGUGGAGAGUUGUCUCAUUGGCAAUCAUACCACAUCUUCUUUUUUAUAUAUAAUAUAUAGAAUACAUAAAAGAAUAUGUUGGAUAUAAAUCAACAAGUAAACAAUUGAACAAUUACAUUAACCAAAAGACAUCUAGAGGACAUCAUAUAUAGUCUUUGACAAUACAAUACAUGUAUGUCAAUUAAAGUUUAUAAUAAAGCUGUAAAAAAAAACUGAAACAAAAAAAGAUCUGCCAUCAACACCAGUCUCCAAAUUUAUUAAAAAG
rnacentral:lncRNA from 1 species